rnacentral:rRNA from 1 species
AAACCAGCACCUCAAGUGGUCAGGAUGAUUAUUGGGCCUAAAGCAUCCGUAGCCUGCUCUGUAAGUUUUCGGUUAAAUCUGUACGCUUAACGUACAGGCUGCCGGAAAUACUGCAGAGCUAGGGAGUGGGAGAGGUAGACGGUACUCGGGAGGAAGUGGUAAAAUGCUUUGAUCUCUCGAUGACCACCUGUGGCGAAGGCGGUCUACCAGAACACGUUCGACGGUGAGGGAUGAAAGCUGGGGGAGCAAACCGGAUUAGAAACCCGAGUAGUCC